rnacentral:rRNA from 1 species
UACGGAGGGGGCUAGCGUUGUUCGGAAUUACUGGGCGUAAAGCGCGCGUAGGCGGACCUGCAAGUCGGGGGUGAAAGCCCGAGGCUCAACCUCGGAACUGCCUUCGAUACUGCGGGUCUCGAGUCCGGGAGAGGUGAGUGGAAUUCCUAGUGUAGAGGUGAAAUUCGUAGAUAUUAGGAAGAACACCAGUGGCGAAGGCGGCUCACUGGCCCGGUACUGACGCUGAGGCGCGCAA